rnacentral:rRNA from 1 species
GACAGAGGUGCCGAGCGUUAGGCGGAAUCACUGGGCUUAAAGCGUGUGUAGGCGGACCCGUCAGUGUCUUGUGAAAUCCCACGGCUCAACCGUGGAACGGCUGGGCAUACUGCGGGUCUGAGACACCUAGGGGCGAGCGGAACAGGCGGUGGAGCGGUGAAAUGCGUUGAGAUCGUGAGGAACGCCCGCGGCGAAAGCGGGCUCCUGGGCCCCGCCUGACGCUGAGACGCGAAAGCCAGGGGAGCCGAACGGGG